GGAUCAAUGAAGCCACCCAUAUAUGCAUUCCUUGGAGAAACUGAAGAAAAUGAAUUUAAAAUCCCUUCCUUCUCUCCUUCCAUGCAUGUCC
ensembl:snoRNA SNORD116 Small nucleolar RNA SNORD116